AAUAGAUACCCAGGUAGUCCACGCCAUAAACGAUGAGUGCUAAGUGUUAGAGGGUUUCCGCCCUUUAGUGCUGCAGCUAACGCAUUAAGCACUCCGCCUGGGGAGUACGGCCGCAAGGCUGAAACUCAAAGGAAUUGACGGGGGCCCGCACAAGCGGUGGAGCAUGUGGUUUAAUUCGAAGCAACGCGAAGAACCUUACCAGGUCUUGACAUCCUCUGCCAACCCUAGAGAUAGGGUGUUCCCCUUCGGGGGACAGAGUGACAGGUGGUGCAUGGUUGUCGUCAGCUCGUGUCGUGAGAUGUUGGGUUAAGUCCCGCAACGAGCGCAACCCUUGAUCUUAGUUGCCAGCAUUUAGUUGGGCACUCUAAGGUGACUGCCGGUGACAAACCGGAGGAAGGUGGGGAUGACGUCAAAUCAUCAUGCCCCUUAUGACCUGGGCUACACACGUGCUACAAUGGAUGGUACAAAGAGCUGCGAACCCGCGAGGGUAAGCCAAUCUCAUAAAGCCAUUCUCGAGUUCGGAUUGUAGGU
rnacentral:rRNA from 1 species